rnacentral:rRNA from 1 species
UGACGCAGCAACGCCGCGUGGGUGAAGAAGGCCUUCGGGUCGUAAAGCCCUUUCGGACGGGACGAACGCUCCGCGGGGAUAAUCCGCGGGGCCUGACGGUACCGUAGGAAGAAGCACCGGCUAACUCCGUGCCAGCAGCCGCGGUAAUACGGAGGGUGCAAGCGUUGUUCGGAAUUACUGGGCGUAAAGCGCGUGUAGGCGGCCUGGUAAGUCAGAUGUGAAAGCCCUCGGCUUAACCGGGGAAGGGCAUCUGAAACUGCCCGGCUUGAGUACGGGAGAGGGAGGCGGAAUUCCCAGUGUAGAGGUGAAAUUCGUAGAUAUUGGGAGGAACACCGGUGGCGAAAGCGGCCUCCUGGACCGAUACUGACGCUGAGACGCGAAAGCGUGGGGAGCAAACAGGAUUAGAUACCCUGGUAGUCCACGCUGUAAACGAUGGGCACUAGGUGUGGGGGGUAUCCACUCCUCCCGUGCCGCAGCUAACGCAUUAAGUGCCCCGCCUGGGGAGUACGGCCGCAAGGCUA